CAGCAGGCUCACACCAGAUACAGAAAUUGCCAGUGCUUUGAUCUUGGGCCUCCCAGCUUCCAGAACUAGGGACCCCAAGGAGCUCCCUCACCCCUUCUACCACAUAAGGACCUAACAAGGAGAUGGCCACCUGUGGAGCAGAAAGCAGACACUGGAUUUGCCGCCACUUUGAUCUUGGACUUCCCAGCCUCCAGAACUGAGCUGGAAGGCGACAGAAGCUCACCAGGCUCCCCGCUUAUGCUCAAGACGCCUGUGAUAUGACAUCAACCUGUCACUCAUGAAGACAGCAAAUCUAUCGGGUCAUAAAUUUGACUGGAAACUAAUACACUGGCAAUAAUAAGCAUUA